AUGACAGUUUGGUGCCGUGACUCGGAUGAAGGUGAUUCGAUCAGGAAAACAGCUAUUCGAACCGCAGAGAGAGGAUGGACUCAUGCCAGCCGUGUUAAAGGACCCAUCGGUGACGAGAAGUGGGAGGUAGCCCCCGGGAGUGACGACCUGAAACUUACACUGCGACAAGCCCAAUGGGUAUUCCAGAAGGAAAGGUCCAAACGUCCCAAACAGAGGAAGUGCCAACACGGAGCUAACCAGGCAAAUUCUAGAGUUUGGGACUUGUGCACGUCUUCACAGCACGCGAGGAUGCACUCCUCAGUGCCCAGUCAGACGGAUGACACCUAUGAAGCCAUCCAAUGUUUUUACAGAACUGUUCAAGACUCCAACAGAUGCUUGGACAGGCUCAUGUUGCAAAUGCCUGAGGGCAGCAAUGAGGGCAGCAAUGAGGGCAGCAACGAGGGCACCAUCACCUGUUGUGGGGAUAUGAAGACACCUUGCCCACAACCAAAGUCCCAGGAGCGGGACCUGCCCUUGGUGGAUGAGGCUAUGAGAAGUCUCCUGGAGCAUCCUGACAUGAAAAUGCAGGCACCAGAGCACCUGCAGAAGAGCCUCUCAGAGCCUAAUCUGGGGCACAAAGACUCCCAGCUUCCACAUCCACUGAGGCAAACAAGGAGGUCCGCUCGCUUGCCCUUCCAGCGCAGGCACAUGCAGGCUCAGGCAUGGAGGUCAUCAGCAGAGGCCUUUGGCCAACGGCAAAAAUCUGCCUCCCUGAUGGACACACGCAAACAAGAAACAAUGCGUACAGUCCAUGCUGACUGCUACAGACUGUGUGAACAGCCUGACAACCAGGAGAACAGGUUGAUGUAUCAAUAUCUGGAGCAGUAUGCAUACGUUGAGAGGAAGAAGCGGGACUUUUUCACACCACACCGCGUCCUGCCUAGCAAUGAAGGAUCCAAGGGUGUGUCUCCAUCUGACCCUGUAGCCCAGCUUGAUGCAGGAAGAGCAAAAGUAGGAGAGAGAAAUCCACCUGCGGACAGGGCCAGUAAGCAGCAGGGCCAGAAAAAUACCACUGCUGCUCAAGAGCCAAAGGGGCUCCCUGGACAUACCCUUGCGGGAAGUAGAUCUUCAGUUGCGUCAAGCAGGAUUGUGCCAAAGGAUGAGCCAUUCAGGCCCCAGUCAGCAAAGCCAGAGGCGAGGCCCAAGCACGUGGCAGAACAACACAGGACACAAAGGUCAGAGACUCUAUCUCAGCUGUGUACAGGCUGCUGUGUGCCACGCUUUCUGUGCCGCUGCAUUCAGCGUGCCUGGGCCAAGCUCAAAGCAGCCAGCAAGGCCCUCUGUUCCAAGAUCAGAAAGGGAAGCGAGAAGCUCUCCAGGAAGGGAAAUAAGCCCUUCACAAACAACAGAUCCUCAGAGCCAACAAGGCUGGACGCGAGUCAUCAUGGGAGCAGACAAUCACUGACACCUCUGGCCAAAAUGAAAACCGCAAGUCCAUUUCUGGAGGGAACAAAGAAGGACUUGGUGGCAUCCGAAGACAAGUCUUUCAGUGCUGACAGUGACGUCACAGCUGCCAGUAAGCUCACAGCUGCCAGCAAGGUCACAGGCGCCAGCAAGGGAUCAAGCCAUGGUGGCAGCAGCCACAGGCACUCGGGCAUGCAGUCGCCAGAGAGAUUUGGAGGCUCUGCGGGAGGGAGACCAGAAUGUUCUCCCUCCUCUUCACAGUGCAGAUCAUCAGCCAGAGGGGCUCCUGUGCAUUGAUGUCCCUAAGGACAUCAACCGAUGUCACUGCAGGAGGAAGCUCACAGAAUAAUGCAAAGUCCUACAAACUACGUAUCCCAGUGGACUUUGCAUUAUUCUGCAUGUAUGUAUAUGUAGUGCUAUUGCUCCGGUCAAUAGUGUUAUUGUCCGGAGCAAUAGCACUACACCCAGGAUGCUUUCCUGCAGAGAAAGCACUCCUCCACCAAGCAGAGAGCCUCAUGUCUGCCAGAGCCUCCAGUUCUCUCUGGGACCAGUAUUCCAAUCUCCCUCCUUUAGG
ensembl:lncRNA uncharacterized LOC107307794